GGACUGAAGUCUUGUUGUAUUUAUUUAAGAUAUAAGAUGGCGAAUACAUCCAAUACCAAUUACAAAUCCAAUACCAAUAUCGUACGGAUUCUCUCUAGAAGGUGAAACUUUGUUGAAAAAGACAAAGUCACAAUCACACGUCUACUCGUGUUAAUCUAAAAAUUCAGCUGAAUCUACAACCUGAAAGGUGAGACAAAAUCAUAAUUCAGAGAGAGAUCAACAACACUACCCAAAAAAAAUAAAAAAAAAUGUACGUAGAUCACGCAUUCUCGAUUUCCGAUGAGGACAUGAUGAUGGAAACAUCCUAUACCGCCAACAACAAACCACCGAUCAAGGANNN
rnacentral:lncRNA from 1 species